CCAACGGCCCUCUUUAGGGCCACAAAUCUGCUUAUACGAACCUCA
rfam:Heligmosomoides polygyrus genome assembly, scaffold: HPBE_scaffold0005576